AUCUCCAUAAAUCCCGGUUUUAUC
rnacentral:miRNA from 1 species